rnacentral:rRNA from 1 species
GACGAACGCUGGCGGCGUGCCUAAUACAUGCAAGUAGAACGCUGAAGGAGGAGCUUGCUUCUCUGGAUGAGUUGCGAACGGGUGAGUAACGCGUAGGUAACCUGCCUGGUAGCGGGGGAUAACUAUUGGAAACGAUAGCUAAUACCGCAUAAUAGUAGAUGUUGCAUGACAUUUGCCUAAAAGGUGCAAUUGCAUCACUACCAGAUGGACCUGCGUUGUAUUAGCUAGUUGGUGGGGUAACGGCUCACCAAGGCGACGAUACAUAGCCGACCUGAGAGGGUGAUAGGCCACACUGGGACUGAGACACGGCCCAGACUCCUACGGGAGGCAGCAGUAGGGAAUCUUCGGCAAUGGACGGAAGUCUGACCGAGCAACGCCGCGUGAGUGAAGAAGGUUUUCGGAUCGUAAAGCUCUGUUGUAAGAGAAGAACGAGUGUGAGAGUGGAAAGUUCACACUGUGACGGUAUCUUACCAGAAAGGGACGGCUAACUACGUG